rnacentral:rRNA from 1 species
AGAAUCAACGCUGGCGGCGUGCCUAACACAUGCAAGUCGAACGAGAAAGUGGAGCAAUCCAUGAGUAAAGUGGCGCACGGGUGAGUAACACGUGACUAACCUACCUUUUAGUGGGGGAUAACCUAGGGAAACCUGGGCUAAUACCGCAUAAUACCUACGGGUCAAAGCAGCAAUGCGCUGAAAGAGGGGGUCGCGGUCGAUUAGUUAGUUGGCAGGGUAAUGGCCUACCAAGACUGUGAUCGAUAUCCGGCCUGAGAGGGCGCACGGACACACUGGAACUGAAACACGGUCCAGACUCCUACGGGAGGCAGCAGUGGGGAAUUUUGCGCAAGUGGGGGAAACCCUGACGCAGCAACGCCGCGUGGAGGAUGAAGUCCCUUGGGACGUAAACUCCUUUCGAUCGGGACGAUAUGACGGUACCGGAGAAGAAGCCCGGCUAACUCGCGCCAGCAGCCGC